rnacentral:tRNA from 1 species
AGGCCUGUAGCUCAGCUGGUAGAGCGUGCGCUGUACGAAAACGUAGGUGGCGUCGAUGCGUGGGUUCGAAUCCAACCAAGGCUG